rnacentral:rRNA from 1 species
UACGUAGGGGGCAAGCGUUGUCCGGAUUUAUUGGGCGUAAAGAGCUCGUAGGUGGUUCGGUAAGUCGGAUGUGAAAUCUCCAGGCUCAACCUGGAGGGGUCAUUCGAUACUGCCGUGACUAGAGGUCGGUAGGGGAGUGUGGAAUUCCUGGUGUAGCGGUGAAAUGCGCAGAUAUCAGGAGGAACACCGGUGGCGAAGGCGGGUCUCUGGGCCGAAACUGACGCUGAGGAGCGAAAGCGUGGGGAGCAAACAGG